rnacentral:misc_RNA from 1 species
UCCGGCUUAUCACCGGCAGUCCCACUAGAGUGCCCAACUAAAUGCUGGCAACUAAUGGCGAGGGUUGCGCUCGUUGCGGGACUUAACCCAACAUCUCACGACACGAGCUGACGACAGCCAUGCAGCACCUGUCUCAUGGUUCCUUGCGGCACUCCCAGAUCUCUCCGGGAUUCCAUGGAUGUCAAGGCCAGGUAAGGUUCUUCGCGUUGCAUCGAAUUAAACCACAUACUCCACCGCUUGUGCGGGCCCCCGUCAAUUCCUUUGAGUUUCAGCCUUGCGGCCGUACUCCCCAGGCGGGGCACUUAAUGCGUUAGCGCCGGCACCCAGGGGGUCGCUCCCCCAGGCACCCAGUGCCCAUCGUUUACGGCGUGGACUAC